AGACUCUGGAAAUCAUAUACAUAUUGUAUCCUAAAAAUACCCUUGAGAUACACACACAGAGAAAUCUAUCAAUGAUUCAGAGUUUUAAAUAUUUUUUCAAAACUCUAAAUUUAUGGAUGAUAGGAAAAACUGUUUAGAUCAUUUGUGAUUUAAUAUUUAUCUUCCUAUAUCUAUCCCCUAAUAUAGUUUUGUAUGUUAUUUUUCAGUACAAAUGAUUUUCUUACAUAAUUUUAGUGAAAUUGCAUAUUCCAUCUCUAUGUACAUUCUCUUAUUUAAAAUAGUGUUUUAUUUUAUUUCACUUAAAAAUAGAGAUUUAUACAAAUAAUAUUCUAUUAUACAAAGAAAUUUUUAUUAGCAAUAAUCAUUCAAUAUUUAUUGAUUUUUUACUAUUGACAUGGCAUUGUGUAGAUUAUACACCCUAGAAGUGUUUUAGAAGAUAUUAUAAUUUAAAUAGUUGAAAGU
rnacentral:lncRNA from 1 species